GCAUGCCCUGCUGCUGACAAUGUUGAAGCAGGGUCUGGACAACCCCUUGUUGAGGGCAUUUGGUGGCCAGAUCUUCUUUUCAGUGUCUUCAGACCUUGGGCUCUGAUGAAGGUGACGGUGUGGCUCUGCCACUGACAUGGCACAGUGCCUGGCCUGUGCAGCUUAUUUCUGCUUCUUCCGUGGCCCUUACCUUUAUUGACAAUUUCUUAGCAAUCCAUAACUGUCCAUGGAAACUAAACUUCAGAAGAUUAUUGAAGCAUUUCUCCUUUCUUGCUUGUUCUGGAAAAUUACUCUCACUAAACAGUGUGUGUUAUUAUAUACAUCCUCUGCUACCCUAACCCAACCCUAGUGUUGUUUAAAGGCAAUGAGACAA
rnacentral:lncRNA from 10 species